UACGUAGGUGGCUAGCGUUAUCCGGAAUUACUGGGCGUAAAGGGUGCGUAGGUGGUUUUUCAAGUCAGGAGUGAAAGGCUACGGCUCAACCGUAGUAAGCACUUGAAACUGUAAAACUUGAGUGCAGGAGAGGAGAGUAGAAUUCCUAGUGUAGCGGUGAAAUGCGUAGAUAUUAGGAGGAAUACCAGUUGCGAAGGCGGCUCUCUGGACUGUAACUGACACUGAGGCACGAAAGCGUGGGGAGCAAACAGG
rnacentral:rRNA from 1 species